rnacentral:hammerhead_ribozyme from 1 species
AUCCAGCUGACGAGUCUCAAAUAGGACGAAUAGCGCGUCAAACUGGAU